UACGGGGGGGGCAAGCGUUGUUCGGAAUUACUGGGCGUAAAGGGCUCGUAGGCGGCCAACUAAGUCGGAUGUGAAAUCCCCAGGCUUAACCUGGGAACUGCAUCCGAUACUGGAUGGCUUGAAUCCGGGAGAGGGAUGCAGAAUUCCAGGUGUAGCGGUGAAAUGCGUAGAUAUCUGGAGGAAUACCGGUGGCGAAGGCGGCAUCCUGGACCGGCAUUGACGCUGAGUGAGCGAAAGCCGGGGGAGCAAACGGG
rnacentral:rRNA from 1 species